ncrna:Escherichia coli P0304799.3 EFASI RNA
AAAGAUCGAUACCGAGGGGGGGCUAGAAGCCCCGGAGAUACCCCUGCUUCGUCAGGCAGUCUGUACCGCGUACAGCCUGAAACUCCCUAAACCUCAACACCCAGCCACUCCGGCGUGAAGGUAUCGUUCU